rnacentral:rRNA from 1 species
UACGUAGGCAGCGAGCGUUGUUCGGAGUUACUGGGCGUAAAGAGUGCGUAGGCGGUUUUCUAAGUUUGGUGUGAAAUCUCCCGGCUUAACUGGGAGGGUGCGCCGAAGACUGGAAGGCUAGAGUAUGGGAGAGGGAUGCAGAAUUCCAGGUGUAGCGGUGAAAUGCGUAGAUAUCUGGAGGAACACCGGUGGCGAAGGCGGCAUCCUGGACCGGCAUUGACGCUGAGGCGCGAAAGCCAGGGGAGCAAACGGG